AGCCGGCGAGGAGAAGCCCCACCCCGCCCCGGCGGCAGACAAUGCGCGGCCGCCGCCCCGCUAGGGGGUGCCGAGCGCUGGCCCCGGCCCUUCGCGGCCGGCUGAGGGGGCCCGGCACCCUGCGGUAAACGAGGUGCCGCCAGGGGUGCUGCCCCUUUCUCGUUAAUUACUGAGGGCCCCUGUAAGGAGCCAGCCUGCGGGCGGGGUGUUGGACGCCAGCUGAUCGGGGUGAUCGCAGCUGAUAACCUCUCAUCUUGACCCAAUCCUGGAUGCACAUCCUGAAACUACAUGAUGCCAAGACUAAAAUAAUUCAAGCACAAAUGUGCAAGCUGGAAAGGAAUCCGAAGAAAACCAGCCGGGACUCGUCUUGCUUUCAGUCUAACUGCCCUAGGUCAAGUUGCUGUCAGUCUUAAAUCUCCUGCUGAAGACAUCAUUUUUGGGCAACGUAAUUGCUCAUAAUAAAAAAUAGUAUCUACAAACUUCAUCCUAACAAUAAUCUUGCUCUUGUUAUUUGCAGAAUGAUUGACUAUUACUAUAUCUCAAUCCAAGUAUGAGAACUGUAUCUAACAGAGGCUCCAACUGCUUGGUUUCUCCCUUUAAAACAGUUUGCAAAAGCACCACUGCUUUCCCUGUAGCUGCCAGUCAACAUCUGCUGUAGGACUUGCCCUCAGCGUCCCAGUUGGAGCACAUCUGUGGUACUGACCUCAUCCCUGGCCUCCGCUGAGUCACAAAGCUGUCCCUCUCUCAGAGAACACAACCCAUCGGACGUAUGAGAGCUGAAGAUAAAGAAUUGUCCAUGUCUCCUCCACUGAGGGAUUUGCUAGGAUAGACUCUGAGAUGAAUAAUUUUGUUUGAAGUUAUACUGGAAGUUCAGAGUUGUAGUUAGUGGCCUGUGCCAUGCAAACUGCCAGUAAAAAGAACUCACAGUGUAUUUUUGUAUCAAGGAUCAAUCUGAUCAAAACAAGCCUGCAUAUAUGUUAUAAUUUUCCAGCAGCCAUGCCAGAUUUACUCAACUAUGAAUAGAAGUAAAUAGGCUGAAAACAUCCUGAGCCUUGGGAGCUGUGCUGUGUGCCAGCACAACAGAGCCUUUGUUACAGGCAGAGCCGUGCUCUCACAAUGGAGUUACUGCUUCCAGCUUCAGCUGCUGCACUUCCAGAAAAAUCAGUCAUCAAAGAAAACCAAACCAACCCCCACACACACUUCUAGUGGGCAGCAGCUCCUCACCAUGACACUGGUCCCAGGUGCCACCAGGUGUGAUGGUGGCCAUCCUGCGCAGCACCCCAUGCCACACUCAGAGGAGCCUCCCACAGCUUUCUCUUGCUCCACUUAGUGUUGCUGGGCACAGCCUUGCACCAGGCAGGCUGGAAAUCCUCCAGCUGCAAUGAUUUACUCUGCUGCCUUGCUUGCUAUUUGCUUCUACAUCUCCAUGCAGUAGAUAGACAAUUGUUUUUACCUGCAGGUCAAAAAUGACUGUGAAGAGUUAAUUAGCACAAGCUAGCACUAUCUAGCAUAAGUAACCAGAGAUAUACGUUGCAGACCAUUGCAUUUCAUAAAUUGUACAUAUUGUAAGUCAGUAAAUAACUUUAGGCACUACAGUUAGUGUAGGCUGGCAAUGAUGAAUUGUAAAUAAAAAACGGUGAAUGUUU